GCAUUAGUAGUUCAGUGGUAGAAUGGGUCGUUGCCAUCGACUCGGCCGGCGUUCGAUUCGCCGCUAAUGCA